rnacentral:rRNA from 1 species
AACUAAAGCGGGCGAUUGGAAGUGCCCGUCUAAGCAGUGAGGUGUGAUAUGAGUCAAAUGCUUGUAUCUGUAACAUUGAGCUGUGAUGGGGAGCGAAGUUAAGGAGCGAAGUUAGUGACGUCACACUGCCGAGAAAAGCUUCUAGCGAUGUAUCAUACUCUACCCGUACCACAAACCGACACAGGUAGUCGAGGCGAGUAGCCUCAGGUGAGCGAGAGAACUCUCGUUAAGGAACUCGGCAAAAUGACCCCGUAACUUCGGGAGAAGGGGUGCUGGCUUAAAGUCAGCCGCAGUGAAUAGGCCCAAGCAACUGUUUAUCAAAAACACA